rnacentral:misc_RNA from 1 species
CACCGCCUGCGGUGGUUUCCGGGGAUGUAUGUUCCACUGCGCAUCCUUGCGCCAACGGGGGCACCUGCAACACCACAGUGACUGGGGGAGCGUGCUCUUGUCCAGCUGGAUAUGAAGGGAAGAGAUGUCAAGCAGCCUGCAACACCAACGCCGACUGUAAGAACAAAGGCACGUGCGAAGCCCGGGGCUGCAAAUGUACGGCGGGUUACACUGGGGGAAAGUGUGAGAGUGUUUUGUCCGGAGCAGAUCACGUGAUCACUUUUCCUGCGACGGUACUGAUGUGUGUCGUUGUGCAGCUUACCAUGAAGGCGUAGAGACCUACAGUCAGCCUACAAUCAGCCAAAAUCAGCCUACAUAUCAGCCUACCAAUCACCCUACAUAUCAGCCUACAUAUAGGCCAACCAAUGAGUCUGCACAUCAGCCUACAUAUCAGCUUACAAAUGUUUUUUAUAUUUUCGUUUGAUUGCAUCUUGUUCCUUGAAGGGUCACAUGAACUUUGGUGAAAGUAUAAUUCAUCACCAGUUAAACCAUUUCUGCUGACUGCCUUAAUCCCAAGAUGGAAACUGUAAGACACAGGUGAAAGAAAUUCAAUUAUGUUGCUUUUCUUUGAAGUUAGGCAUGUUUGGAAAAGGAGUAUCGUCUACUAACGAUCUGUACGCAAGUUUCUCCAUGAAGGAUACAGUAUACAGAACACUAUUAUCAUAAUAACCCUUUAUUUGCUAAUGUUAAUAUUUACAAUAUUUAAAAUAUUAUAUAUUAUAUUUCAUAUUAUAUAUUUUUGGUGUGUUGUCGUUUUUGUAUUUCUUCGUUCAAAUUACAGCUGGAUCAUCUGUUUGGGCCUGUGACCUUAAAGCUCUGAAUAAAUGUCUCUCCAGACCAAUGCAUCACCACUAACCUGGCUGUUCAAAUUUCUGUCUGUAUUACAGUAAUUUAGAUGUUUUGAUGGUAUUAGAUGUCACUAGUCUGGUGUGUCGUUUGUUCAUCAGUAAAACCCUCAUGACUUGGUAUGUUUGUCACGUGUCAAACGUCACGAGCACGGAACAUCUGCAUGGUGUAUGUUUCAAAACACAUGCAUUGUCUCUAUGUUUAACAAGCAUGCACAGUGUAAAGACAUGCCUUCACAACGUAGAGAUAUGCAUUCACAGGUUAAAUAGAUGCAUUCACAUUUUAAAUACAGGCAUUCACAGCUUAAAGACAUGCAUUCACAAUUUAGUGAUAUGCAUUCACAAUUAAGUGAUAUGCAUUCACAAAGUAAAGACAUGCAUUCACAGAG